AUGUGUCCAAUGGAGUUAAAUGGUCCUCCAUUUGGUCAACCUACAACUUCAACACCCGUUGAGGAAUCUCAUGUGCAAGUGCCCACACAAAAUGAGUUCGAUGAUAUAGAGAAGAUCACUCUUCUUAGCCUUGAAUUCACUUGGAGUGGCGAGGAUGAUCCUAUUAGGAAGCUGAUACUAGAUGAGAUGAAGAAGAUUAAGAGUGGAAAGGAGCUAGUGGAAGAAGUAAGGAAGAUCGAGAGGAACAUUAAUACUGGCAGUACUAUCUCAUCACAGCUUGAGCUGAGUAUUUCUGGGAUAUCCCUUGAUACAUGUGAGGUUCCAACACCUUCACAUUCAACUGAGCAAGAUAGUGAGAGUCCAGAGGAAGAGAUACUUCAGAUCCAAGAAGUAAUUCUCAAAGCCAAGGAACAAGACGAUCCAGAGCUUGAAUGCCCAAGUGAUCAAGAUGAAGAUCCAAUGUCUAUCUCUCCCGAAGAAGUAAAAGAAACUGCUAUAGAUGAACUUGAAGAACCAGGAAUUCAUUUGCCUAUUGUCAUACAAGAGCGUGAUGUAGCAGGUUUAUCUAAUCCUCUUGAUGACAUGCGUCCUUAUGAUUUAUUUGCUUCUACCUUGCAUUACAUGAUACCAUCAAUUAAGCUAGACUUGAAAAAUUAUUUGCUAGGACAGGAUCAUACAUACCCUGUUAGUGGCAUUUCUCACAUUUGCUAUUAUGACGCUUAUUCUCCCCAUGCUAGAGUUAUGCUUAAUGAAAUAUAUCAUCCACAUGCCAGCGUUGAGAUCAUUUAUUCAUAUCAUCCUAAACAUGUGCUUUAUAGCUAUGCUUAUGUAAUUGGACACUCGAUUGAUGACUUGGAGGGUAUUAUCCCUACCACUUGUCUUGUCUCUUUUGUUGUAUGCCUUUCCAGGUUUUUGCUACUGCAUCGUUUACUACAUGCUGACCAGCUUCGAGGUGACAUCCCUUGGGAUCCCGGUGGAGUCAAAGCACUGUGA
rnacentral:rRNA from 1 species